UUAAAUUAGAGUUUGAUCCUAGCUCAGGAUGAACGCUGGCGGCGUGGAUAAGGCAUGCAAGUCAAGGGUGUGUGCGGAGCACACAGUUUAUAAAGUUAUAAAGUCAUAAAGUUCAUAAAGUCAGAAUCUUCUGCUUUACAAACUUUUUACUUUACGAACUUGUAACUUGUGCGCUUCGCGCACAACCGGCAGACGAGGUAGUAAUAAGUAGGAAUGUCCCCAAGAGUCAGGCAUAGCUACGCGAAAGCGUGGGUAAUUCCUGAUGGUCUGACCGCAUCACAUGGAAUGUGAAUUAAGUUUAUCAAGUUCAUAAAGUUGCAAGUUUAUAAAGUAAGACCAAUGCCGGAUUUUUUAGGCUCGCUUUUCUUACUUGAUGAACUUUAUAACUUUUUACUUUAUAAACUUAUUUCGCCUCUCAUGUGAUGCGGUCAGUAAAGUCGCAAGACGCUUUUGGAACAGCCUACUCGGUAUCAGCUAGAUGGUAGGGUAAUGGCCUACCAUGGCUAUGACGCCUAGGGGGGGUGAGAGCCCGAUCCCCACCGAUCGGACUGAGAUACGGCCGAUACACCUACGGGUGGCUGCAGCCGAGAAUAUUCCGCAAUGGGCGAAAGCCUGACGGAGCGACGCCGCGUGGUUGAUGAAGUUCUUAGGAAUGUAAAAACCUUUUAUUAGGGAGGAAGCGUGCGAAGCACACUGUACAUGACACUGAUGACACGAAUGUAAAGAACGAAUGACACGAAUAAAAUUAACAAGACUUGAUUUUAUUCGUGUCAUUCGCAUCUUCUAUUCGUAGAUUCGUGUCGAGUUCAGCGCGCUUCGCGCGUUUGACGUUACCUGAUGAAUAAGGGGUUGCUAAACUCGUGCCAGCAGCAGCGGUAAUACGAGUGCCCCGAGCGUUAUCCGGAAUCAUUGGGCGUAAAGGGUGUGUAGGCGGCUUUGUUAGUCCUCUGUUAAAUUCUUCGGCUCAACCGGGGUCUUGCAGGGGAUACGGCAAAGCUUGAGGGUGUGAGGGGUGAAUGGAACUCAUGGUGUAGGGGUGAAAUCCGUUGAUAUCAUGGGGAACACCAAAAGCGAAGGCAAUUCACUGGCGCACUCCUGACGCUGAAACACGAAAGCGUGGGUAGCGAAUGGGAUUAGAUAAUCCUUGCCCGCUAAUAAAACAUAGGCAAAAGGUGUCUCUCCCGAAGGCGACUUCGGGAUGAAAAUCUAG
rnacentral:rRNA from 1 species